rnacentral:rRNA from 1 species
GAUGAACGCUGGCGGCGUGCCUAAUACAUGCAAGUCGAGCGAACAGACGAGGAGCUUGCUCCUCUGACGUUAGCGGCGGACGGGUGAGUAACACGUGGAUAACCUACCUAUAAGACUGGGAUAACUUCGGGAAACCGGAGCUAAUACCGGAUAAUAUAUUGAACCGCAUGGUUCAAUAGUGAAAGACGGUUUUGCUGUCACUUAUAGAUGGAUCCGCGCCGCAUUAGCUAGUUGGUAAGGUAACGGCUUACCAAGGCAACGAUGCGUAGCCGACCUGAGAGUGAUCGCGCCCACUCUGACUGAGACACGCUCCACACUCCCAUGCGAGGCACCGGUGUGGAAUCUUUCGCAAUGGGCGCAAACGUGUCGCGGCACCACGCCGCGUGAGAGAUGGAGCUCUGCGUCUUAAAACUCUCUGUUAUUGGAAAAACAAAUGUGUAAGAGACAAUACGCGCGUCGACGCGGUCCAAACUGAGAGCCCCGCGGAACACCGCG